UGGGGAAUUUUGGACAAUGGGGGCAACCCUGAUCCAGCCAUGCCGCGUGAGUGAAGAAGGCCUUCGGGUUGUAAAGCUCUUUCGGCCGGGAAGAAAUCGCAUAGGUUAAUACCCUGUGUGGAUGACGGUAUCGGAAUAAGAAGCGCCGGCUAACUACGUGCCAGCAGCCGCGGUAAUACGUAGGGUGCGAGCGUUAAUCGGAAUUACUGGGCGUAAAGCGUGCGCAGGCGGUUUCGUAAGACAGAGGUGAAAUCCCCGGGCUCAACCUGGGAACUGCCUUUGUGACUGCGAAGCUAGAGUACGGCAGAGGGGGGUGGGAUUCCACGUAUAGCAGUGAAAUGCGUAGAGAUGUGGAGGAACACCGAUGGCGAAGGCAGCCCCCUGGGCCGAUACUGACGCUCAUGCACGAAAGCGUGGGUAGCAAACA
rnacentral:rRNA from 1 species